GAAAAACAUGACACCUGCUGCUUAGAGAGCAUCACUGCAUGGAAAGCCAGCCAUCAGGAGGGCACUGACUUCUCCUCAGUGAUUCUGUUUUGUUGAGGCAUUAUCAAGAAGCCAAUGCAGCCCAAAUCAACUGACUUCAUAUGUGUAGUGAAGAAGACCAACUCAAAAAGCUGCCUUAAUGUAUAAGUAACUUAAAUGAAAAUGUACCAUGAGCUCCACUGUACCUUGCCCCAGAAGAGCUAUGACGUACAAGGGUCGUCCAUUGCCCUUAAGAAGAGAAAGAAACUGAGCCAUAAAGCAAAUAGACAUUUUUCUGUGCAUUGGACACUCAGGGAUUGUUCAGAAACUUGUCUGUGUCAAACAGUGCAUGAAAGAAUUUCAGAGUAAAAUGGGCUCAGCACAGUCAAUAGUGUCCUUUGUUCUGAUAGGAGAUUUGUUUGUUCUUUAACUAUCAUGUCCUUUGUGUGAAUAACUGAAAGGAAAAAGUGCAUUUUCUUUCCUCAGUGGGAUUUAGGGUAAUAACCUCAUGAUAUUUUAACAUGAGUCAAACUCCUUUAAAGGACAAUACUGAACACUUUCUCUAUUAAGGAAGAAAGGAUCAGGACAGAAUAUUUUCAAAAUUCCAAUUAAUGUAUCCGUCCAGUUUUUACAAGUCAUUCUACAAGUCUUCUGCAUGGAAAAAAAUCAUCUAAUUCUCCUUUACUAAUGGGUUUUCAAUGGAUUUAGCCCUGCCAGAGCAGACUGAUGAGUAUUAAAGGGAGUAUCAAUAAAAUUCUGUAUGGGUAAAGCCUUGCUGAAAUUGUAACAGCAACUAAAAAGACAGUGUAUAUAUUUGCUUGCUGCCUUUUGGUGAAGGUAUUUGCAUGCUUCCAACUAUGUAGAUACAUCUCUUCUGGACCUAGUUAUGCCAUUAGCAGAUGUUGGAGCCUUCAGCUGUUUGAUACCACCCACCAGCUGGGACUUGAAGCCUUUACAGCCCUGCCAAAGAAACGGUACGUGCGAGCACUCCCUAAUCCACUUUCAGUGAACCAGCCCUGCUAAUACAAAUUACCUUUUCCAACACUGAAAUUAACCCGCAUGACUGUCCACGAGAAGAAUGGAGAAUGGCUGUGUUUCUCACAUGGAAUUCUCCAUCACUACUGUUGUGAGACUGGAAAAGGCAAGAGGUGGGAGGAGACAGUUUAACUGCCUCUGCUGUCUGGAAAAUGAACAGCCUAAAAGAAGUAAGACAGAGAAGCAAGAGAGUGAGAAAAAGGACAGAAAAGAAACAUGAGAUGCACUGAUGGGAAGAGCAGUGAUACGAGCCUGAGGACAAAGGAUGGGGCUUUGGCCAGGUUUUGCUCAAGCUAGCAGGAAGGAAACUGCUCUGUUGGGCCUUUCUGUG